rnacentral:rRNA from 1 species
CGAUGUAUAGGAGCGGACGCCUGCCCGGUGCUGGAAGGUUAAGGGGAUCUGUUAGAGCAAUCGAAGCAGUGAACUUAAGCCCCAGUAAACGGCGGCCGUAACUAUAACGGUCCUAAGGUAUCGAAAUGCUUUGUCGGGUAAGUUCCGACCCGCACGAAAGGCGUAACGAUUUGGGCACUGUCGCAAAAUCAGACUCGGUGAAAUUGUAAUUCCGGUGAAGAUGCCGGAUACCUGCGACAGGACGGAAAGACCCCAGGGAGCUUUACUGUAGCUUGACAUUGGGUCUUGGUACUACAUGUACAGGAUAGGUGGGAGGCUUUGA